rnacentral:rRNA from 1 species
UAGGGAAUCUUCCACAAUGGGCGAAAGCCUGAUGGAGCAAUUCCGCGUGAUUGAUGAAGCGUUUAGGCGUGUAAAGAUCUUUUCUGAGGGAAGAAUUAUGACGGUACCUUAGGAAUAAGCACCGGCUAACUCCGUGCCAGCAGCCGCGGUAAUACGGCGGGUGCAAGCGUUAUCCGGAAUUAUUGGGCGUAAAGCGUCCGCAGGCGGUUAAGCAAGUAUGAUAUGAAAGACAAUAGCUCAACUAUUGCAACGUGUUGUAAACUGCUUAACGAGAGGACUGGAGAGGUGUGUAGAAUUCUGCAUGUAGGGGUAAAAUCCGUAGAUAUGCAGAGGAAUACCAAAAGCGAAGGCAGCACACUGGACAGUUCCUGACGCUCAGGGACGAAAGCGUGGGUAGCGAACG